GACGAACGCUGGCGGCGUGCUUAACACAUGCAAGUCGAACGGAGUGGCGAACGGGUGAGUAACACGUGGGUGAUCUGCCUUGCACUUCGGGAUAAGCUUGGGAAACUGGGGCUAAUACCGGAUAGUGCAAGAUGAGCUCGCGGCCUAUCAGCUUGUUGGUGGGGUAAUGGCCUACCAAGGCGUCGACGGGUAGCCGGCCUGAGAGGGGGUACGGCCACAGUGGUACUGAGAUACGGGCCAGACUGCUACGGGAGGCAGGAGUGGGGAAUAUUGCCCAAUGGGCGGACGCCUGAUGCAGCGACGCCACGUGGGGGAUGUAGGCCUUCGGGUUGUAAACACCUUUCGACAGGGACGCGGUACCUGCAUAAGAAGCACCGGCUAACUACGUGCCAGCCGCCGCGGUAAUUC
rnacentral:rRNA from 1 species